GAUGAACGCUAGCGGCAGGCUUAAUACAUGCAAGUCAAGGGGGUAGCAAUACAACCGGCGCACGGGUGAGUAACACGUACACAACAUACCAUAUACUGAGGUAUAGCUUCGGGAAACUGAAGGUAAUCCCUCAUAGUAUUGUGAAAGGGCAUCUUUUUACAAUUAAAGUUUCGACGGUAUAUGAUUGGUGUGCGUUUGAUUAGCUAGUUGGUAGGGUAACGGCCUACCAAGGCAACGAUCAAUAGCUGGCGUGAGAGCGCGACCAGCCACACUGGAACUGAGACACGGUCCAGACUCCUACGGGAGGCAGCAGUAGGGAAUAUUGGACAAUGGGCGAAAGCCUGAUCCAGCCAUGCCGCGUGAUAGAUGAAGGCCCUCUGGGUUGUAAAUAUCUUUUAUCUGGGAAGAAACACUUCUAUUCUUAGAAGCUUGACGGUACCAGAGGAAUAAGCACCGGCUAACUCCGUGCCAGCAGCCG
rnacentral:rRNA from 1 species